UACGUAGGGUGCGAGCGUUGUCCGGAAUUACUGGGCGUAAAGAGCUCGUAGGUGGUUUGUCGCGUUGUCCGUGAAAACUCACAGCUCAACUGUGGGCGUGCGGGCGAUACGGGCAGACUGGAGUACUGCAGGGGAGACUGGAAUUCCUGGUGUAGCGGUGGAAUGCGCAGAUAUCAAGUGGAACACCAGUGGCGAAGGCGAAUCCCUGGAAAAUACCUGACACUGAGGCACGAAAGCUAGGGGAGCAAACAGG
rnacentral:rRNA from 1 species